CGUAGGGUCCGAGCGUUGUCCGGAAUUAUUGGGCGUAAAGAGCUCGUAGGCGGCCUGUCGCGUCUGCUGUGAAAGUCCGGGGCUUAACUCCGGGUGUGCAGUGGAUACGGGCAGGCUUGAGGUAGGUAGGGGAGACUGGAAUUCCUGGUGUAGCGGUGAAAUGCGCAGAUAUCAGGAGGAACACCGGUGGCGAAGGCGGGUCUCUGGGCCUUACCUGACGCUGAGGAGCGAAAGCGUGGGGAGCGAACAGGA
rnacentral:rRNA from 1 species